CCUUGUGACUCUUUUCAGCGGCACACAACAAGUCUUAGAAGAACCAUGAAGUUCGCCUGUCUUUUCUUUGCUGUGGUCUUCCUUGGCAUUGCCCAGUCCGAUGAAGCAGAUGUGCGAAAGCAACAGAGAAUGCCCUUGGAAGACUUGCCUGACCUUCGGGUCCAAGACCCAGCUUUGCCAGAAGAUGUUCCCCUCCCGAAACAUCCCAUCGUAUGCAAUACUAUGGGGGGGAGAUGCCGUAACUGGUGCGGUGAAAACGAGAGGUUUGUUGGACGAUGCUUUGGAAUUGUGUCCUGCUGUGUGCGUUUUCAGUAGAAAACAUACUUGAGAGAGAUGCAAGAAAGACCAACAGCGUAUGAUCGGAACAGAGGAAGAAACCAAUCAAGAUGAAUUAAUGCUGAAUCAUUUCUUUUAAAUUAAAAUUGAGUUUGCAU